rnacentral:rRNA from 1 species
UACGAAGGGGGCUAGCGUUGUUCGGAUUUACUGGGCGUAAAGCGCACGUAGGCGGGUUGUUAAGUCAGGGGUGAAAUCCUGGAGCUCAACUCCAGAAUUGCCUUUGAUACUGGCAACCUAGAGGCUGGAAGAGGUUAGUGGAAUUCCCAGUGUAGAGGUGAAAUUCGUAGAUAUUGGGAAGAACACCAGUGGCGAAGGCGGCUAACUGGUCCAGAUCUGACGCUGAGGUGCGAAAGCGUGGGGAGCAAACAGG